GAGGCGAACCGGGGGAACUGAAACAUCUAAGUACCCCGAGGAAAAGAAAUCAACCGAGAUUCCGAAAGUAGCGGCGAGCGAAAUUGGACUAGCCCUUAAGCUUUACACGCGUUAGACGAACGGUCUGGAAAGUCCGACGAUACAGGGUGAUAGUCCCGUAGUUGACGACGUGUGUUCAGUGAAAUCGAGUAGGGCGGGAC
rnacentral:rRNA from 1 species